rnacentral:rRNA from 1 species
ACCCUCAGCAAACGAUAGCACCAUUAGGAUGCCUGAUCCAACACUGAGGUUCAAACCUCUCGGUAUCCAGGCCGUGCGAAGGGAGAGCAAUCAAUUAUCCCAUAAAUAGAGACUCCAUGAAUCAAUAAACGAGGUCUUAACUGUCUCUUGUAGAUAGUCAGUGAAAUUGAUCUUCCCGUGCAAAAGCAGGAAUAAGCCCAUAAGACGAGAAGACCCUGUGGAACUUAAAAAUCAGCAGCCACCACACACAAAUAUACACCUACCAGGCCUACAAUCAAAAUUAAACCUGGCUUGCAUUUUUCGGUUGGGGCGACCUUGGAGAAAAGAAGAACCUCCAAAAAUAAGACCAUCCCUCUUAACUAAGAGCGACCCCUCAACGUACAAACAGUAACCAGACCCAAUAACAAUUGAUCAAUGGACCAAGCUACCCCAGGGAUAACAGCGCAAUCUCUCCCAAGAGCCCCUAUCGACGGAGAGGUUUACGACCUCGAUGUUGGAUCAGGACAUCCUAAUGGUGCAGUCGCUAUUAAG